rnacentral:rRNA from 1 species
UCCAUUGACGCGGCGACGUGGGCGGUUCGCCGCCGGCGACGUCGCGAGAAUUCCACUGAACCUUAUCAUUUAGAGGAAGGAGAAGUCGUAACAAGGUUUCCGUAGGUGAACCUGCGGAAGGAUCAUUGUCGAACCUGCAUGGCAGAACGACCGGUGAACAUGUAAAUACACCUGGUGAUGGGGAUAGGGUCCUUGGUCCUUAUCCUUUUCCCCUCCCUGCAUGCGUGUGUGGAACUCCGUUUGCGGUGCCAUGCCUGUCAUGUUGGGAUUUAACAAACCCCGGCACGGAAUGUGCCAAGGAAAACAAAAGUGAGAAGGACUCGUCUUGUCUUGCCCCGUUCGCGGUGUGCAAGUGGGUCGUGGCCUCUUUGUAAUUAAAAACGACUCUCGGCAACGGAUAUCUCGGCUCACGCAUCGAUGAAGAACGUAGCAAAAUGCGAUACUUGGUGUGAAUUGCAGAAUCCCGUGAACCAUCGAGUUUUUGAACGCAAGUUGCGCCCGAAGCCAUCCGGCUAAGGGCACGCCUGCCUGGGCGUCACGCUUCGCGUCGCCCCCCACCAUUUAUACCCAACGUGUACUAAUGGUGUGUGGGGCGGAGAUUGGCCUCCCGCACCUUUCAUGCGGUUGGCCUAAAUAUGAGUCCCCUUCAGCGGAUGCACGACUAGUGGUGGUUGAAUAGACCCUCGUCCUUAUCGUGUGUCGUGAGCUGCAAGGGAAGCCCUUACCAAAGACCCCAUUGCAUUGUUUUUAAGACAAUGCUUCGACCGCGACCCCAGGUCAGGCGGGACUACCCGGU